rnacentral:rRNA from 1 species
UACCUCAGUAACGGCGAGUGAAGCGGUAACAGCUCAAAUUUGAAAUCUGGGUCCUUCGGGCCCCGAGUUGUAAUUUGUAGAAGAUGCUUUGGGUGCGGCCCCGGUCUAAGUUCCUUGGAACAGGACGUCAUAGAGGGUGAGAAUCCCGUAUGUGAUCGGUGGCUUGCGCCCGUGUAAAGCUCUUUCGACGAGUCGGGUUGUUUGGGAAUGCAGCUCUAAAUGGGUGGUAAAUUUCAUCUAAAGCUAAAUACUGGCCAGAGACCGAUAGCGCACAAGUAGAGUGAUCGAAAGAUGAAAAGCACUUUGGAAAGAGAGUUAAACAGUACGUGAAAUUGUUGAAAGGGAAGCGCUUGCAACCAGACUUGCGCGGGGCUGAUCAUCCGGGGUUCUCCCCGGUGCACUCGGCCUCGCUCAGGCCAGCAUCGGUUUCGGUGGCUGGAUAAAGGCCUUGGGAAUGUGGCUCCUCUCGGGGAGUGUUAUAGCCCUCGGUGCAAUGCAGCCUACCGGGACCGAGGACCGCGCUUCGGCUAGGAUGCUGGCGUAAUGGUUGUAAGCGACCCGUCUUGAAACACGGACCAAGGAGUCUAACAUCUAUGCGAGUGUUUGGGUGUCAAACCCAUACGCGUAAUGAAAGUGAACGGAGGUGAGAACCCUUAAGGGUGCAUCAUCGACCGAUCCUGAUGUCUUCGGAUGGAUUUGAGUAAGAGCAUAGCUGUUGGGACCCGAAAGAUGGUGAACUAUGCCUGAAUAGGGUGAAGCCAGAGGAAACUCUGGUGGAGGCUCGCAGCGGUUCUGACGUGCAAAUCGAUCGUCAAAUUUGGGCAUAG